CGUCAUCUCCGCUCGUUCGUCUCACGAGAUAACCACAUAGCUGUGUACGUACAGCUAUUGCGCUAACCCCAGACCCAGGAUCGCAUCCUACGGUACAUUCGAGUAGGACGUUAAGUGUGAAGCGGUGAUCAUUACUUAGUACAAGUAUAACGUAAAGACCGAAACACAAACGAUAAUUAUAAUAAACUAGCUUUUAACCGCGGCUUCGCUCGC
rnacentral:misc_RNA from 1 species